UAGAAAUACUGGAUAUUAAAAAAAUGUAAAAAGAAAAAAAAGGUUUGCCAUGUCACCGAUGUUAUCCAACUCAGUAGUUUCAUGUGUGCACCGUUAGUCCAGUCAGCUUUUUUUUAACAGAAUUUUAACCUCAGAGACUAACGUCAACACAAAAGUGAGAUAUAGGGACGUAGACAAAAAAAAGAUACAAAGACCAAAUUCAAAAACUCGCUAACUUACAGGGAUCAAUAGACUAUUUAAGCCUAAAUUAUAAAAUGCUUUUGAAAAUCUAUG
rnacentral:lncRNA from 1 species